rnacentral:rRNA from 1 species
GACGAACGCUGGCGGCGUGCUUAACACAUGCAAGUCCAACGGAAAGGCCCUGCUUUUGUGGGGUGCUCGAGUGGCGAACGGGUGAGUAACACGUGAGUAACCUGCCCUUGACUUUGGGAUAACUUCAGGAAACUGGGGCUAAUACCGGAUAGGAGCUCCUGCUGCAUGGUGGGGGUUGGAAAGUUUCGGCGGUUGGGGAUGGACUCGCGGCUUAUCAGCUUGUUGGUGGGGUAGUGGCUUACCAAGGCUUUGACGGGUAGCCGGCCUGAGAGGGUGACCGGCCACAUUGGGACUGAGAUACGGCCCAGACUCCUACGGGAGGCAGCAGUGGGGAAUAUUGCACAAUGGGCGGAAGCCUGAUGCAGCAACGCCGCGUGCGGGAUGACGGCCUUCGGGUGGUAAACCGCUUUCGCCUGUGACGAAGCGUGAGUGACGGUAAUGGGUAAAGAAGCACCGGCUAACUACGU